CUCAAUCUCCAAAAUAGCAAGAAACUCAAACUGUCAGACCAAACCUGACACACCAAAGGCCAAACAACCGGCCAAAGUUACUGUAGCACAAAGAGUUUCACAGGAUACUUCUAAAAUUACAAUGGUCUCAUGAAAAACCACAAGAAUCUAACCAAAAUAGAAGAAGAAGAAGAAGAAAUCCCUAGAAGAAACCAAAGAGAGAAAAACUCAAGAAGUCAGAAACCUUUCAAAAUCGUGUGUCUCGAAAAACAAAUGGACUGACCGUUUAAAAACCACCACAGAAAAAUCAGAUUUCAUUUCAGCUAUUGAUCUGUAAUGGACGGUCAGGAUAAGAGUUAAAGAAACACAACUCGCGUGAAGCUCCAUGGGCCAAUUGGGUGUUGCCACUUGGGCCAUCCACGUCCAGAAGACCCUUUUGCCUUUAAUUAAAGUGUCAAUAGAUUUGAGAAGCACGUUUUUACAAUCUUCACCUUGGUUUUCAAAUCAACUACUGUCUCACGUAUGCUAACUUUUGCAAAUAAAAACUAACUUAGCCCUAUAUCAUUGCUCUUUGUACCUGCAAGAAAAUCAACAUGUAUCAAUAUGGAGAAUAGACAAACAUGAUCUAAACUUAUUAACAGGUAAAAUUUUCGUUCCCAUAUUAGAUGGGUUUCAAUCAGUGUGAACUUUAUUAAGAUUCACAUCACCAGAAAAUAUCUUCUCUCUUACGAAGUGAUACUUCACCUCAAUGUGUUUAGACCUCUCAUGAUACAUAUGGUUCUUACUCAAUCGUAAGGCACUUUGGCUGUCAGUAAACAUUGUUGGGGUCCCUUGUAGAAAAUUUAACUCAGUUAAGAUUCCUUUCAGCCAUAAACACACUUUUACAGAUUCAGUGAUGGCUAUAUAUUCUGCCUCAGUACUAGAUAGAGUGACUAUUGGUUGUAAUUGAGAUUUUCAGGUAAUACAGUUCCCUCCAAUGUAAAGAAGAAGGCAGAAGUAGAUCUUCUCUGAUCUUUGUCACCAGCAAAGUUAGAGUCUACAUAUCCAAUAAGAGUUAAGUUCUCAAAUCUCUUUUCAAAAUUCAAACCAAUGGUUAAUGUUCCAAAAAUAUAUCUUAGUAAACAUUUUAAACCUGCCCAAUGGAGUUUACCAGGAUUUAACAUAAAUCUACUUAGAAAACUAAUAACAUAGGCUAAAUCAAGUCUUGUUGUACUCAUUGAAAACAUGACAGACCCUAUUGCAUUAGCAUAUGGAAUGUUUCUCAUCUCUCUCAUCUCAAUUUCAAUUUUUGGUAAUUGGGCAGUAGAGAGGUUCAUGUGGGCAACUAGAGGUACAUUUACGGACUUGGCAGGAUUCUUGAGAUAUUGUCAGUUUAUUACUAAGCCUAUCUCUCUUUAUAACCAUCCCUAGGAUUUUCUUAGCAUUGCCUAAGUCUUUCAUAUCAAACUCAGAUUUCAAAGGAUUUCAAGUCUUUCAAUUUUAGGCAUGCUGGAACUUGCUAGAAGCAUAUCAUCUACAUAGAAAAGAACGUAUACUUCACUUCCAACCUUAGCAUUAUUAAAGUAUAAAUAGUGAUCAUACUCAAUCCUCUUGAAUCCAAUUUUCAGCACAUAUGUGUCAAACCAUAUAUACCAUUGCCUCGGGCUUUGUUUAAGCCCGUACAAGGAUUUUUGUAACUUACACACAAAAUCCUGUUUAUCCUUCACCUCAAAACUUUGAGGCUGACACAUAUAAAUGUCCUCUUCCAACUCACCAUGUAAGAAUGCGGUCUUGACAUCUAAUUGUUCAAGUUCCCAAUUGAAUUGAACAACUAGUGCAAGAAUCAUUCUUAUAAUUUUUAUAUUUUAUGAUAGGUGAAAAUAUUUCAUUAUAAUCCACUCAUUCUUUCUGAGUAAAGCCCUUAGCCACUAGCCUGGCUUUAUACCUAAGUGGUUCAGAUGAGUUAUUCCUUUCUUUUAACUUGUAAAUCCACUUACACUGAACGAUCCUAUGAUUAUUAGGCCUUUUUACCAACUUUCAGGUUUUAUUUUCAGUUAGGGACUACAUUUCUUCCCUCAUAGCAACUUUCCAAUUAGCAGCAUUAGGACAAUUCAUAGCCUCCUCAAAGGUAGUGGGUUCUUAAUUUUCUAAUGCUUCACCUGAAGUUAAGGCAAACUCAGUCAUGUUAAUAAUUUGAUAUCUGGGAUUAGGUUUCACUUGCCUUCUUUCCCUAUCCCUAAUAAGUUGGUAGUCUUGAUUAAUAGGUUCGGUGUUAGGAUUUUUAGGAGUGGUUUCAAUCUCAGGUUCAUUUUCUAUGUUGGGAAAACUAACUUCACCUUCAUCUGACUCCUCAACUCUCUCUGAAGUUUCCUGUACAGUAGGUUCAUUAUCCUCAGGUGAUGAGUUAAUGAACCUAAUUAACCUGAUUACAUUAGUAGAAAUGUUUCCUUUAUUUGGGUCAGCUUAUUUUUCAGUCCUAUUCUUCAAACAUGGCAUUUCAGAUUCAUUAAACACAACAUUCACACUGUUGAUAAUUUUUAUGCUUUUGCCAUCUAAGACCCACAGUCUAUAGCCCUUUACCCCUUCAGGAUAUCCUAACAAAACACAUUUAGUUGCCCUAGGAUCCAGUCUUCCUUCUGUUUGGUGUGCAUGUGCUACACAUCCAAACACUCUAAUGUGGGAUAGAUCAGGUGGUUUUCCAGUCCACAAUUCUUGGGGUGUUUUCAAAUCAACGGAGAUGCUAGGGGACCUAUUUAUUAGGCAUGCAACAGUACAAACAGCUUCAGCCCAGAACCCUUUUGCAAGUCCUGAGCUAAUAAGAAGGCAUCUGACUUUAUUCAUAAGAGUCCUGUUCAUUCUUUCGGCAACCCCAUUUUGUUUGGGUGUGUUUCUAACAGUCCUAUGUCUAACUAUCCUCUUUUGCUUACAAAAGUUCUCAAAUUCAGAAUUACAGAACUCUAAUCCAUUGUCAGCCCUUAAUGUUUUUAGUUUCUUAUUCAACUGAUUUUUUGUCAUUUUAAGUCAGGUUCUAAAUUUCUAGUAAGUUUCAGAUUUAGCCUUUAAAUGGUAAACCCAAACUUUUCUGGAAUAGUCAUCAAUUAUAGACAAAAAAUAUUUGUUUUCCCAAAAGUGGGAUGACUUUCAGGUCCCCACAGGUCAGAGUGUACAUAAUUCAAAGGUCUAUUUGUGGUGUGGGACCCUACAUUGAAACUCACCUUAUGGGAUUUGCCUAAUGCACAAGUCUCACAAAAUUGUAUAGGCUCUAUUAUAUCUUUCCCAAGUAAUUUUUGGUUACUUAGAUAUUUCAGGCCCUUGUUACUAAUAUGACCCAUUCUAUUAUGCCAAAGUUCAGACCUCUUCUCAGUUACAGCCAAAGAACUAUUAUCUUGGGCAGUCAUGGUUUCUCCAGCAAGAUAAUAAAAUCCAUUCCUCUUGGGUCCCUUCAACACAACAAGUGAUCCCUUCAUCACUUUUAAUGUAUUAUUAUCAGACUUAAAUGUGUACCUUUCAUCUUCAAGGACCCCUAAUGAGAUAAGGUUUCUCUUUAAAUUUGGGACAUGCCUAACAUUUUUAUUUGUCUCACAAUACCAUCAUGCAUUUUAAUGGCAAUGUCACCAAUCCCCUAUGCAGUUUGUGAGUUAUUAUCUCCCAUGUACACUUUCCUAGGUUCAAUUGGUUUGUAGUUAUAGAACCAAGAUCUGCUAGGGCUCAUGUGAAAUGUACAUCUAGACUCUAAGAUCCAAUCCUCAUCACUAUCAUCAUUAGACACAGCCAUUACAAGAAGGCUAUCCAAAUCAAAAGUAACAGUUGCAUUGUUCAAGUCAACAGUACUUUGAUCCUUUUGUUUCUUCUUGAAUUCAAAUAGUCUCUUUUAAAGUGUCCAAGUUUUCCACAGUGAUAGCACUUUUUAUUACUUUUAUCCCUAGAUUGGAUCUACCUCUGGAUUUAGAUCUGAAUUUUCUGUUCUGGGCAUGGUUGUCUUUCUUUUCAGAUCUCCCUCUCACAAACAUGCUUUCCUCUCUUGAGUGUAAUUUAGAUUCUUUCUUGACCUCUAGUUAUCUAGCUCUCAAAGCAUUUGUUACCAUAGACUGAGUUAAGUCAUCCCUUGAGUUUUUUAUGGCAUUCCUUAUAUCUCUAUAAGAUUCAGGUAAUGAGUUAAGUAAUAUAGUAGCAAGGUCUUCAUUAUCAAAUUUUUUGUCAUUGUGUGCAAGACUCUUUACCAGAAUGCUAAAAUCACUCAAGUUUGCUUCAAGGUCUUUUCCAGUGUCCAUCUUGAAACUAAAUAAUUUUUCUAGCAAAUAGAUUUUAUGAGGUAGUGUCUUGGUCAAGAACAAUGCAUCAAGUGUAGUCCACAAGGCUCUAGUUGUUUUAGAUUCUUCAACUUGUCUCACAAUAUUAUCAGAUAAAUGCAAGAUAAUUAAACUGUAAGCAAUGUCAUUCAUUUCUUGAAUUUCAUUAGGUUUAGCCUUUAAUUCAUAAGAAAAUGUUGCAGGAUCAUCCAGGGCCUUAGCUACCCUUUGUUGGACUAAUAUAGCCCUCAUUUUCUGCUUCCUUAUCGAGUAAUCCCCCUUUCCAUCGAAUUGAGAAAACUCGACCUUCGAACCCAUUACAGGUUCUGUAAAAGAGUGAUGAUUAACUAGUGGACAUAAGUGAGUCUUAAUUACUAAUCACUUAAGUGCAGAAAAGGUUUUGAAAAAACUUUUACAACAAUUAAAAAGGUGAACAGAUUCAAGAAUGACAAUGUAGUAUUCACAAGAGUAUGCAAGCUAUCACAAUACAGUCAACCAAUAACCAAUCUCAAGAUCACGUAAUACAAUAUAUUGAGAUUACCAACUUAAAACAUGCUUAAAGAUCAUCUUAUAUAGAUAUCAUAUACAAGACAAAAGUUGUUCUCAAAAUUUAUUAACUAGUAUUAUCCAAUUUCAAGAACACUAAGAGCAUGCUUUUCAGUUUAUGAAUAAACGCAGUUAAAACGGUCUCACCCACAGCAAGGCUGCCAUAUUAGAUUAUACACACUCAAUCCAUCUUUCAAGUCCAGGAGCCAUGUUUCUCUAGUUAUGGCUUUCAGCCACUGCACUUAAAAAAAAUCGAUCAGUAACAGUUCCAAGAAAAAUAUUCAAUAACAAAAAUAUGAGUAAAUGUGGAUCAAGAAAAACGAUUCUCUCGGAGUAGACUGUGGCUUGGUGUUCCAGAAACCCUAUGCUUUGAUACCAGAAUUUGUUAGGAAUUUCGACAUUCUUUUGUUUGCUCGUGUAAAAUAUGGCCAAUCAUUCAACGAAAACAGUAAAGAACACAAAAUCUUAUUCACCCAGUUCGACUAAAAUGCCUAAUCUGGGGGCUCAGAGGUAAGCCCGUCCACUAUGUGCAAAAAUAACCCUCCAAGAGACAGUGACAACUUUGGAACCACACUCAGACACUGGGUUUGAUCAUCGAUCCAAAGGAUCUCACACAAAUCAACCCUCAAUCAUCAAAACAAUAAGAAACUCAAAUUGCCAAACCAAACCCGACACCCCAAAGGCCAAACAACCGGCCAAAGUUAUCGUAGCACAGAGAGUUUCACAGGAUACUUCUAAAAUUAUAAUGUUCUCAUGGAAAAUCAUAAGAAUCAAAACCAAAAUAGAAGAAGAAGAAGAAGAAGAAAUCUCUCGAAGAGACCAGAGAGAGAGAAAAACUCAAGAAGUCAGAAACCCUUC
rnacentral:lncRNA from 1 species